UGGGUGAUAGCGUGCCUUUUGUAGAAUGAACCGGCGAGUUACGAUUUGUUGCAAGGUUAAGCGGAAAAAGCGGAGCCGUAGCGAAAGCGAGUCUGAAUAGGGCGCAUAAGUAACAGGUCGUAGACCCGAAACCAGGUGAUCUACCCAUGUCCAGGAUGAAGGUAAGGUAAUACUUACUGGAGGUCCGAACCCACGCACGUUGAAAAGUGCGGGGAUGAGGUGUGGGUAGCGGAGAAAUUCCAAUCGAACUUGGAGAUAGCUGGUUCUCUCCGAAAUAGCUUUAGGGCUAGCCUCGAGGUAAAGAGUCAUGGAGGUAGAGCACUGUUUGGACUAGGGGCCCUUCUCGGGUUACCGAAUUCAGAUAAAC
rnacentral:rRNA from 1 species